rnacentral:piRNA from 1 species
UGAGAUCGGGAUAGAAAUACA